GGCGCAUUAGGCCGACGGUUCAAUAUGCCGAAUAGGCCUACAUAUAAAGAGUUUUAUACCUCGCUCGCGCUCUCUCUCGCUCUCACUCGGCAGGCCCCAGAGCUCAUACCAGGGGUCCAUGCUACAGCUCAGUAAUAAAGUCUAGGCUAGUCUUCACGGAAGCCUUGUUUUGCUUCACAUUGUAGAAACCAUGUUGACAUGAAAGCACGUUGUGGCUGCAAAUCGUUUGGCUAUGCAACGCUUCGAUUAUGCCAUGGAGCGACAGGGAAAUGGCACUCGCUCGUCUUCCAUAAGGAGUAACCGACAGGGCCGCCAAGUCUUCAGAAAACCUUGGAAGGCGCAGAGCAGCAAUCACGGCGAUGCGUGUCUUGCACGUAGUCGCGUCGAAAACUGCAAGCUAACAGCUGACCCAUGAAUGUCCGGUGAAAGCAACUUUUCCCUCUCAAUUUCCCCUCGUCUUGCACCCUUGGCAAGCGGAGCGAGUUUCACGUUGCUGUAUCAACAAAAGAAUUCUCCAAUAAAAGGUUGCACCCGUCAGAGACUCUCCGGUUCUUUCGAUGUCAAGGGCUGCUACAGAAUACAUUUGUAUAGGCUAGUAGGUGGGCCCUUAACUAUGAUUAUUGCAGUUAUCCCUUGAUGACCUACUUACGCCACUGUCAACUUGCCAUAUUUUAUGACAAUGAAAAGCAAUUGACGUUGCCCUCGUUAUUUAGGUAACUUCCAAAAUUACAAUUAUAGACAACAAGGUUCUAUUAUUGAAGAGGUUUGUAUAAUAGUGAAAUAGUGCGUAAUUAAAGUGAGAAAUAGGUGUGAGAA
ensembl:lncRNA